UACGAAGGGGGCUAGCGUUGUUCGGAAUUACUGGGCGUAAAGGGCGCGUAGGCGGCGUGUCAAGUCAGAGGUGAAAGCCCAGGGCUCAACCCUGGAAUGGCCUUUGAGACUAGAGAACUAGGGUACGGGAGAGGUGAGUGGAAUUCCGAGUGUAGAGGUGAAAUUCGUAGAUAUUCGGAAGAACACCAGUGGCGAAGGCGGCUCACUGGCCCGUUACCGACGCUCAGGCGCGACAGCGUGGGGAGCAAACAGG
rnacentral:rRNA from 1 species